ACGGGAGGCAGCAGCUAAGAAUAUUCCGCAAUGGACGAAAGUCUGACGGAGCGACGCCGCGUGGAUGAUGAAGGCCGGAAGGUUGUAAAAUCCUUUUAUAACUGAGGAAUAAGUAUUAUCAGAGAAAGGUAGUAUGGUGACUGUAGGUUAUGAAUAAGCAACGGCUAAUUACGUGCCAGCAGCCGCGGUAACACGUAAGUUGCGAGCGUUGUUCGGAAUUAUUGGGCGUAAAGGGCAUGUAGGCGGUUUUGCAAGCUUGGUGUGAAAUCCCGGAGCUCAACUCCGGAAUUGCGUUGAGAACUGCAUAACUAGAGUGACUGAGGGGCAGGCAGAAUUCCAGGUGUAGGGGUGAAAUCUGUAGAUAUCUGGAAGAAUACCAAUGGCGAAGGCAGCCUGCCAGCAGAUGACUGACGCUGAGGUGCGAAGGUGCGGGGAGCAAACAGGAUUAGAUACCCUGGUA
rnacentral:rRNA from 1 species